GUAGGGAAUAUUGGGCAAUGGAGGCAACUCUGACCCAGCCAUGCCGCGUGCAGGAUGACGGCCCUCUGGGUUGUAAACUGCUUUUAUACGGGAAGAAAAAAUACUACGUGUAGUAUACUGACGGUACCGUAAGAAUAAGGAUCGGCUAACUCCGUGCCAGCAGCCGCGGUAAUACGGAGGAUCCAAGCGUUGUCCGGAUUUAUUGGGUUUAAAGGGUGCGUAGGCGGAUCUUUAAGUCAGUGGUGAAAGCCUGCAGCUUAACUGUAGAAUUGCCAUUGAAACUGAAGAUCUUGAAUGUGGUUAAAGUAGGCGGAAUGUAUCAUGUAGCGGUGAAAUGCUUAGAUAUGAUACAGAACACCGAUAGCGAAGGCAGCUUGCUGAACCAUUAUUGACGCUGAGGCACGAAAGCGUGGGGAGCGAACAGGAUUAGAAACCCCUGUAGUCC
rnacentral:rRNA from 1 species